rnacentral:rRNA from 1 species
CGUUUUAGUGGCGAACGGGUGAGUAAUACAUAGGUAACCUACCCUUAAGACGAGGAUAGCCAUUGGAAACGAUGGAUAAAACUGGAUAGGAUAUAGAGGAAGAAUCUUUUAUAUUUAAAAGAGAGAUCUGCUUAAGGAGGGGCCUGUGGCGCAUUAGCUAGUUGGUGAGGUAACGGCUCACCAAGGCGACGAUACAUAGGGGGACUGAGAGGUCAACCCCCCACAUUGGUACUGAGACACGGACCAAACUCCUACGGGAGGCAGCAG